rnacentral:rRNA from 1 species
CAGGGAGCAAUCCUGAAGCUCUGAAUCGAAGCCCUAGUGAAUGGCGGCCGUAACUAUAACGGUCCUAAGGUAGCGAAAUUCCUUGUCGGGUAAGUUCCGACCUGCACGAAUGGCGUAACGACUUGAGCGCUGUCUCAACGAGAGACUCGGUGAAAUUGUAGCGCCGGUGAAGAUGCCGGCUACCCGCGACAGGACGGAAAGACCCCGUGGAGCUUUACUACACCUUGAUAUUGAGUUUUGGGAUAGUAUGUAGAGAAUAGGUGGGAGCCGCAAGGCAACAGUGGAAUACCACCCUUAUUAUCUUGGGAUUCUAACGAACUCCGGUUAUCCCGGAGGCGGACAGUAUCUAGCGGGUAGUUUGACUGGGGCGGUCGCCUCCCAAAAGGUAACGGAGGCGUCCAAAGGUUGGCUCAGGCUGGUUGGAAAUCAGCCCUCCAGAGUAUAAGGGCAUAAGCCAACUUAACUGUGAGAGAGACAUCUCGAUCAGAUGCGAAAGCAGGGCCUAGUGAUCCUACAGUGGCAUGUGGAAGCGCUGUGGCUCAUCGGAUAAAAGCUACCCCGGGGAUAACAGGCUUAUCUUGCCCAAGCGCUCACAGCGACGGCAAGGUUUGGCACCUCGAUGUCGGCUCGUCGCAUCCUGGGGCUGGAUUAGGUCCCAAGGGUUGGGCUGUUCGCCCAUUAAAGCGGUACGCGAGCUGGGUUCAGAACGUCGUGAGACAGUUCGGUCCCUAUCCGUCGUGGGCGUAAGAAGUUUGAGGGGAGCUGUCCCUAGUACGAGAGGACCGGGAUGGACAGACCUCUGGUGUAUCGGUUGUCGCGCCAGCGGCAGGAGCCGAGUAGCUAUGUCUGGAACGGAUAAGAGCUGAAAGCAUCUAAGCACGAAGCCGGCCCCAAGAUAAGACUUCUCAUCCGGUCAACGGAGUAAGGCCUCCGGUAGAUUACCGGGUAUAUAGGCAGCAAGUGUAAGGGCAGUAAUGUCUUCAGCUAAGCUGUACUAAUCGGCCGAGGGCUUGGCCAA